rnacentral:lncRNA from 1 species
UGGUUUGUAGUUGUAUAAGAUGGUUUCAUUCUAACUUAUAUUGGAAUAAAACUUGGAAUAGAAUAGAUUUAUCAAUAAGGCAAAACAAGAAGUAAAGAAAGGAGAGAAACAACAUAUAAUAUUUGUUAACAUAGUUCAAAUCAACAAUCCUAAGUCUGUGAAGCGUCGCUCAAAAAAUUAUUUUAUUCAAUAAUCCAACCAAAUCACUUAUUGGCUAAAGCCCAAACUACUCUUUCAACAAUAGAUAUUUACAGCCCCAACAAUGAAUCAGAUUGCUACAAAUCACUCUCCCCAAAAUAACCUCACAUACAAAUUAUAAAACUCUCUAAAAAAAUACCUAAAAAUAGUAUCGAACAAAACACCAAAAAGAUACAACAAAGAGAACUCAACAAAAUAGUUGACAAAG